CUAAAGGCAAUUUAGUGAAUUGAGGAGACAACUGGAGGUGGUUUAAAAGGAUGGAGUGCAAAGAAAGAGCCAAUGACACUUAAGUGGCCAAGUAGUUUACAAGCAGUCAUUAAGGAAUCAUCACUAAUAUGGUAUUAUCCUUCCCAUGUGCAAUCACACGAGCAAGUAUAGGAGGACCAUGAGGCUGCUUCAUUCACCAAGACUCCAAUUGCAUGUAUUUCAUUUG